rnacentral:rRNA from 1 species
UGAAGUUGGAUUCGCUAGUAAUCGCGCAUCAGCCAUGGCGCGGUGAAUACGUUCCCGGGCCUUGUACACACCGCCCGUCAAGCCAUGGGAGCCGGGGGCGCCUGAAGUCCGGGACCGCGAGGACCGGCCUAGGGCGAAACUGGUAACUGGGGCUAAGUCGUAACAAGGUAAC